rnacentral:rRNA from 1 species
ACAGGAUUAGAUACCCUGGUAGUCCACGCCCUAAACGAUGUCAACUGGUUGUUGGGAAUUUACUUUCUCAGUAACGAAGCUAACGCGUGAAGUUGACCGCCUGGGGAGUACGGCCGCAAGGUUAAAACUCAAAGGAAUUGACGGGGACCCGCACAAGCGGUGGAUGAUGUGGUUUAAUUCGAUGCAACGCGAAAAACCUUACCCACCUUUGACAUGUAUGGAAGAUCGCAGAGACGCGAUUGUGCUCGAAAGAGAGCCAUAACACAGGUGCUGCAUGGCUGUCGUCAGCUCGUGUCGUGAGAUGUUGGGUUAAGUCCCGCAACGAGCGCAACCCUUGCCAUUAGUUGCUACAUUUAGUUGGGCACUCUAAUGGGACUGCCGGUGACAAACCGGAGGAAGGUGGGGAUGACGUCAAGUCCUCAUGGCCCUUAUAGGUGGGGCUACACACGUCAUACAAUGGCUGGUACAAAGGGUUGCCAACCCGCGAGGGGGAGCUAAUCCCAUAAAGCCAGUCGUAGUCCGGAUCGUAGUCUGCAACUCGACUACGUGAAGUCGGAAUCGCUAGUAAUCGUGGAUCAGAAUGUCACGGUGAAUACGUUCCCGGGUCUUGUACACACCGCCCGUCACACCAUGGGAGCGGGUCUCGCCAGAAGUAGUUAGCCUAACCGCAAGGAGGGCGAUUACCACGGCGGGGUUCGUGACUGGGGUGAAGUCGUAACAAGGUAGCCGUAUCGGAAGGUGCGGCUGGAUCACCUCCUU